AAUUCCUAACCAAGACUAAAUGUCAACAUUAGGUUGAAGUGCCCUGGUAACACUGCCAUCGCUUACUCUCGAGGGAAAUAAACAGGAGAAAAGACGAUCUACCUCUGACAUGAUGGCACCUUGCAUACACCAUCAAUCCACAAGUUCAGUUCACUCAACCAAAAACAGCUGACAGCCCUCCGACUUAUCAUCCUUGAGCACUUGGAACUACAACCUAAUUCUAAUUUUCAAACAAGUCACCAUACCAAGACCACGUGCCGCUACAUCUGUGGCAGCCAUUAUAGGACUUUUCCCACUCUUGAACUCUGCCAGAACAUAUCCUUUUUAGUUUGGAAAAAUAUCAAGAUUCUGCUUCCAUCCAUUAGAUCAGAUAAAAGUUUACUGAGUCUGUAAGAAACAAGUUAACAUUAACUUAACUCAUGGAAAUUUUUAGUUGG
rnacentral:sRNA from 1 species